rnacentral:lncRNA from 1 species
UUCACCCCACCCACAUUUUUUAAUGGAGCUGAAGUGAACACACUCUUUUAGGUUACUGCUGUUUAGGCAAGACUCUGUCUAGCUCCAAGAAUAACAUUAGCUGCUGCAGCACAGAUUAAGGGUUGGCAUGAAGGUCCAAGUGUGAGUUUGUCAUCGUUGGUUGGUGCCUGUUGUUCUGAAGACGAGAGAAGCACGAGCUUGUGUGACAUCAGCUUCCGCCUGAAGCAAAUACAAAGCACAGGACUUCUGAGCAUGGCAAGAGACCGUGAAGCAGCAGCACAGAGCACCAGUCCUUCGCUGCUAAGUAAGAAAGCCAAGAUUCUUUCACAAGCUCAAGAAGCAUAUUGCUGCUUUCCAAUAGGUAACCACAGAUACUUCAUACGUAACCAUUGAUUUUCUAUCCAGGGAUAUGUAGGAAGUCUUACAAAGAGCAUGAGUAAGGACGCAUCUAAUAACAUGUCAGAAUUUUCCUGUUUCCACACUUGAAUGCUCAGUCCAGAAUACUGAUCCCCACACCACAGAACAACCACAGUUUACAAAGUCAAUAUAUACUGUAUGAAGUAGCUGUAUAGUUAUGAUAGUUACCACAGGGAAUGAAACCUAAAAUUUUUAGAUGCAAGCAGAGGGCAUAGGCAGGAUCUGACUUUUCUCUGAAGUAGGCUCAGCUAGAGGAAAAAUAUUGAUUUUCACCACAGCCAUCCUUCCUUCAGAAGUUAUUUCAUGUUUGAAAGGAAUGCAUGAGGCUAUAGAGAAAAAGAAAAAGGAUGGUAUUUUAUCUUAAUUUAUAAUUUUAUUUUAUUUACAGAGUUCAGUUAUUUUAUGUGUUCUCUUCCUGAAAUAAAAGCAAAUAAACCAGAAGAUUUUCUUUAAAU